GGCCUACGUACAUAAACACAAAAACUGUUUCAACUUUUCAACUGGUGGUUUUGAUGACCCUCGGCUUUUGCUUCCCUUUAGGCAGCAGAUGAUGUAGGGCGGUUGCCAAAAGCUAGCUAAUAAGUCAAAUCAUCAGAAGAAAUGCAUCAAAUGGGUUGGGUUGGGUUGGUUUUGUCUAUAAAAGCAUCUUUUGAGAGAGAGAGAGAGCAACAGAGCUGCAGAUGGGUUUUUGAGCACUUGUUGCGGGGAAGAAAGAAGAGGCACACACAUGUACAGAAAGGUUGUUGUUGCAAAGGUUGAUGGAGAAAGAUGUGAAUAUAUACAUAAUGAAGGUAUUGGCGCGCCUCAAUUUGAAGGCAUGGUUAAUAUAUGGAGACCUUAGCCAUGUGAUUCUGAUUGAGCCGCGUCAAUAUCUCCUUUUGCAUCUCUCUCCAUAUUUUCAUCCUUCAUUUCAUGGUAUGUAGUUCUUGAUCGAUCAUCCAUCCCCUCCCCCACUUCUGUCAAUCUUUUUUCUUGUAUCUCCCUUUUUCUUUUUCUGUUCUCUCUGGGUUUUAUUACAACCUUUGAAUUAUUAAAGUGCUCCUCUUUGUUUUUUUUUGCA
rnacentral:lncRNA from 1 species